GAUGAAGAACGCAGCGAAAUGCGGUACGUAGUGUGAAUUGCAGAAUUCAGUGAAUCAUCGAAUCUUGAACGCACAUUGCACCUCUCGGUAUUCCGGGAGGUAUGCCUGUUCGAGCGUCAUUUGUACCCUCAAGCUCUGCUUGGUGUUGGGUGUUUGUUCCGCCUCUGUGUGUGAACUCGCCUCAAAACAAUUGGCAGCCGGCGUACUUGUUUCGGAGCGCAGCACAUUUUGCGAUCCAGAUCAACGUACAGCGGCAUCCAAGAAGCCUUAUUUAACGCUCUUGACCUCGGAUCAGGUAGGGAUACCCGCUGAACUUAAGCAUAUCAAUAAGCGGAGGA
rnacentral:misc_RNA from 1 species